AGGGUUAGGCGGGGCCUAAGGCGAGGCCGAGAGGCGUAGUCGACGGACAACUGGUUAAUACUCCAGUCCCACUCUAGGUGCGAUGGAGGGACGCUCUAGGCUAGGCAGACCGGAGCCAUGGACGAGCCCGGCCAGAAGCGCAAGGGGGGCUACAGGCAAACCCGUAGCCCGCUACCCGUGCGCGGUGGGGAAGGCGCGAGCUGACAACCUGCCGAAGCCAGGGAGCCGAGAAAAGCUUCUAAGCA
rnacentral:rRNA from 1 species